rnacentral:rRNA from 1 species
UACGUAGGGUGCAAGCGUUGUCCGGAAUUAUUGGGCGUAAAGAGCUCGUAGGCGGUUUGUCGCGUCUGCUGUGAAACCCGAGGCUCAACCUCGGGCCUGCAGUGGGUACGGGCAGACUAGAGUUCGGUAGGGGAGACUGGAAUUCCUGGUGUAGCGGUGAAAUGCGCAGAUAUCAGGAGGAACACCGGUGGCGAAGGCGGGUCUCUGGGCCGAUGACUGACGCUGAGGAGCGAAAGCGUGGGAGCGAA